UAAUCAAGAACGAAAGUUGUGGCGACUUGUGAAAUGAAAAUUGCCCUAAACGGACUCCUGAGCACAAAGUUAUGACCCUGUGAAGGUUGUGGCGACUUGUGACAGCAAUUUCAAAUGUGAAUUGCUCUUUCUAUUUUCAUUCAAAUCCAUUUUUUCCACUUACCGUUGCAUGUCUCUCAAAAAAUCCUAUAAAAACAAGUGGUCACAGUGCGUGUUUGGUUAAUUGAGCUGCGAGUUAUGGCCUUCCAAGUGUGGAAGAACCGUCUUCUGUGGCAUAUAUCCCAGAACUUGCUCUUGCUGGCUGGAAUUGUUUAAUGAAAAAAUUCCAGAAAAAACCUCUUCCUAUUUCUUGGUUAAGAGUCUAAUCAAGGGCAUGCUAGUAAUUUAAAACAUAUAGAAGAAAUUUAAGAACGAAGACCAAUGCCCAUUGCUAUUCUUUUUCUUUUUCUUUUUCCGGGUAGGGGGGUAUGUCGUACGUCGAGCUCUGACUUCCAACGAACCGUAUCACAAAUUUGGUUACCUGAAGUGGGUUGGAGGGCGAAGAGGGUCUCAUCACUGAACGGUACUGUUAAUCUCAGGUUGAAGAAAACAGGAGAAGUGUUGCUGGGUUUGGGAUUUCAGUGAUUGAAGAAAACAGAAGCAGCAUUCCGGGGUUUGGGAUUUCAAUGAUUGAUUGGGAGAGGUUGAAGAUAAGGUUUUGAUUUUCGGUCUGUACCAGAGUGAUUGACAUCAAAGAAGAAAGGUUAUUAACAGCCUUAUUCCAGGUCUUUAGAAUGCUUUCUUGAUUGUACUGCCAGAACAAUCCAGAGAGAUUAUGAACGAUAGAGAGAGAGGGAGUGCGUGUGUUUCUUUGCUUUGCACGAAGAGAUAGAGAGAGAUCAUCAUCUCAGCAAGAGGUCGGUUGCUCUUUGUCACGAGUGUGAUCGGAGAGGUUUUUAUUAGGCGGUUUGUAUCAAAUCUCUUCUCAGCUUUCAUCACCAACUCUAAAAAUUUGGGUUCGUCAUCCACAAGGAUGAUACUGAAUUUCUCAUAGCUUCUGCUGAUCAAACUUUAAGCUGUCAAAUCUUUUGAGUCCACAUCCGCCUGAUCCUGAUAGAGCAUAUGAGUGCAACUCAGCCUCCAAAAACACGCUCUCACAGCUCUGUAUGGCCAAUUGCUGUGGCUAAAGAGGCUCAUCUUACCCCAUAAGCAAAACGUUCGAUACACGAAAAGUUAUCUUUCUUAUUAUAGUUGUUAUUCAGUUGUUCUCUACUUUUCAUUCAGAUUUCAGCCUCAUUUUUUUUCUUUAUUUUUUUCCCUCUUCAUUUCCUGACUGCUCCAAGGAGCAUCUUACAUCAGUUCUUAAUCUUAAAGAUGAGGUAUCCAUUGCUACUGCUGGAGCUGUGGACAGGUAUAUACAUGUAACACUAACAAUGAUACACAUAGUUAAAUAUUAGAUGCUUAGAUACAAGUUAAAUCAUAUAAAGUUGUUAUGGGCAACAUCAAAGACGGAGACUUUGCUUUCAGCUGGAAAGCAACCAUUCUCAUCAAGGUUUUUCUAUCCUUACCAUUUGGAUUACUACUUCAUUUCUUUUCGGUGAGACGUUUGAUUUUGUUUUGGUUACUGAGAGAAAUCAAUGCUUUAUUGCUUCCUGUGUUGACCUUCACAGUACUUCUAUUAUGGGAAUCAACCCUGAAACCGACAAUUUAUGUAGCCAUGUUUCAUUUUAUGGGGGAAGACCUCCAAUCCCUUAAGUAUGAAAGAGCUUCAGAUUUGGAGCAGCAACUUUACUCUGAAGCACAUAAGAUCUAGAAAGGGGACUAGAAUAAUGGGAUUGGGUUUAUGCUUUCAGCCAGGGUGAGAGCAUUCCUUCAUGGAUUGGAGAUGAUUAUGUUGUUAUAGAUUAUAAGACUGCUGCACAUCUUGAGAAUCAUUUGACCAAUUUGGAUGAAAAGAAGUUUGGUAUCAACCCCUGACAAAAAUCGAAAGAGAGACAGCACUUGAAGAAUGCAGUCAUGAUUUGGAGAACCUCACAAGUUUGAAUAAGCUACGCUUAAGUUCUGUUGCAAAUAAAUCUGGUACAGCCUCAGAAACAAGUGUUUAACCCCAUGCACAAGGUGCGCUAGCAGCAAAUGGAGAAGCUUCUGGUAAUGAAGAUCUAUCAGGUCAAAAGAACCUGCUCACGCAAGAAGUUUCCUACCUUCACAUUCCAUGGAUCUGCAGAUGAGUCCACUUCAGUUGAAGAUGCAUUUGAGUCUGCCAAUGAAUUAGAUCAGUGCUAAACCCCCAUUGUAGAAACUUGAUACCACCUUGGUUAAAAUACCAGGUUCUUGGAGGAAGGAGCUCAGAUGUUCAUGCAAAAACCGAUCAAACAGUCAGACAUUAAGCAAUUGAGAUGUCAUCUGAUGAACUGCAGAAGCUGAACACACAUACUUUGUUCUGGAGGAGAAGUGGAGAGAAGCCAAAGAAAUCACCUGCUAGUUUUGUUUUUGGGUUUUUUUUUUCCCCGCAGAACUUGGUAUCUUCAUAUCUUGAUGAGUUCUUUUAAAUGCAUUUCCAUCUCACUGUGUCCUUAGUGUGACUGAAAUCAUUUGCUACUGUGGUGAUAAUUGGAUGGAGCAAAACUGUAGAUAUAUAUUCACUGAAAAGAAAUCUGUACCAUAUGUAAAGAGAUCAUAUCUUAUUACAUAAAGAAAUCAGCUGCUAAUUUUUAUUUUUGGAUUUUGUUUCCUUAGAA